rnacentral:rRNA from 1 species
UGUGUAGGCGGUUUUCUAAGUCUGGUGUGAAAUCUCCCGGCUCAACUGGGAGGGUGCGCCGAAAACUGGAAGGCUAGAGUGCGGGAUGGGAGAGUGGAAUUCCUGGUGUAGCGGUGAAAUGCGUAGAUAUCAGGAGGAACACCUGUGGUGUAGACGGCUCUCUGGACCGCAACUGACGCUGAGACACGAAAGCGUGGGUAGCAAACA